UAUAUGCUACUUUACUAAAUUGAGGGGUGUGUCCUGGCCGAUGACAGUGCACGGGCAGCACGUGGCUGGAAGAGGAUCUCGGCAAGAGCGGCAACGACGCCAACAUGGCUGAACAUGACUAUUUUUUAGAACACAUUGAUGCAGCACCACAUUGCUGUUAUGCCUGGUUCUAUGGAGAAACUUACUUGGCAAGCUUUUUACACUGGACCAAUUUCACCACACCUAAAAAGAUCUGUCGACUCCUUUUGGUGGAAGGAUGUGAUGAGUUUGGUAUGGCUUCAUGUACAGUAUAGCAAGGUAACAUAGUUAGCCUCUGAGAAGACGUGUGGAAUUUCGGGUUGCUUAACUUGAAUUUAUGCAAUUAUACU